UGGGGAAUCUUGGACAAUGGGGGCAACCCUGAUCCAGCGAUGCCGCGUGAGCGAAGAAGGCCUUAGGGUUGUAAAGCUCUUUCGCCCGCGACGAUGAUGACGGUAGCGGGAGAGGAAGCCCCGGCUAACUCCGUGCCAGCAGCCGCGGUAAUACGGAGGGGGCUAGCGUUGUCCGGAAUUACUGGGCGUAAAGCGCGCGUAGGCGGUCCACCAAGUCGGGGGUGAAAGCCCGGGGCUCAACCCCGGAAUGUCCUCCGAGACUGUUGGACUGGAGUUCGGGAGAGGAGAGCGGAAUUCCCAGUGUAGAGGUGAAAUUCGUAGAUAUUGGGAAGAACACCGGUGGCGAAGGCGGCUCUCUGGCCCGCAACUGACGCUGAGGCGCGAAAGCGUGGGGAGCAAACA
rnacentral:rRNA from 1 species